UUCCUUCGGGGACGCGGUGACAGGUGCUGCAUGGCUGUCGUCAGCUCGUGUCGUGAGAUGUUGGGUUAAGUCCCGCAACGAGCGCAACCCUCGUCCUUAGUUGCCAUCAUUCAGUUGGGCACUCUAAGGAAACCGCCGGUGAUAAGCCGGAGGAGGGUGGGGAUGACGUCAAGUCCUCAUGGCCCUUACACGCUGGGCUACACACGUGCUACAAUGGCGGUGACAGUGGGCAGCAAACUCGCGAGGGUGAGCUAAUCUCCAAAAGCCGUCUCAGUUCGGAUUGUUCUCUGCAACUCGAGAGCAUGAAGGCGGAAUCGCUAGUAAUCGCGGAUCAGCAUGCCGCGGUGAAUACGUUCCCAGGCCUUGUACACACCGCCCGUCACACCAUGGGAGUUGGUUUCACCCGAAGGCAGUGCGCUAACCGCAAGGGGGCAGCUGACCACGGUGGGAUCAGCGACUGGGGUGAAGUCGUAACAAGGUAACC
rnacentral:rRNA from 1 species